GCCCUUUUAAUUUGUCUCGGUUCAAGCUUGGGUUUUAGGGCAUUUUUUCAGGUUUUGUUGUUACAAAUUUGGGAAUUGGGUUGAGUUUCUUUUCUUUGUUUGGUUUGUUGUUAAUUUGUUCGGUUCUGUGUACCCAGUUGGCUAUUUGAAAUAGAAAACGAGGUUUUGAUGAUUGGCCUUUGAUUUUUCUUUUUUGGUUCAUUUUGGUUCGUUUGAAUUUGAGAAUUGGCUUGUAUUCCUUUUGUGGGCUCGAUUUGUUUCUGAUCGGGUUAUUUUUUUCUGCCCAAUUGAGUACCGUAUCUAGAAGAUGAAAUUUUGAUGAUAGGGUUUGAUAUCUUGUUAAAUAUGGGUUCGUGCGCAGUAGGGUUUUGCUCAAUUGUGGUUUUCCGAGGUUGAUCAUCCGUGUCUUACGUUGCUUCCAUAAUGGAUUUCUGUCCUACCCACACUUCAGGAUUGGAGUUUCUUUUUUAGUUCAGGUGUGAAGAAAGCUGAGGUUUCCAUCCUUCUAUGAUUUGAAUCAUACUGGAUGGGCGUUUCAGUGGCUGUUAUUUGUUGUUCUCCGUUUCGCCCAUUAGGGUGCACCGGUGGUUAAAGGGCGGGCUUGGAUAAGUCGAAUUGGGUACAAUUCAGCAUUCCGAUAAACAGCUUGGUGGCUGGGGUUAUGUAUCGGGGGUUUACUGCGUUGGUUCCAAAGGCCAUGAUUUGGUGAGGUUGCACGUCAUAAAGAGUUGCGGUGCUCUGUUUCACAACGGAUUUCAUUUUUCUGUAUUAAUGUCAAAUUCUCAAACCCCAGUUGAGGUUCUCAUCUCAUAUAUGUUUUAGUGUUUUCUGUUUCCCCAAGAACGACAUUGAAAAUAAGCUAUUAAUUUGAAUUUUGGAGGUUGGCAUGCGUU